UCCUUCACUGAUUGAUUGCAGUUGUUGUCCGACUUAAAGGUUUCAAUACACAUUUAAAUGUGUUGAAACUAAAGGUGUUUCAAUAAAAGAGAACCUGCAACUGUUAGGAUUCAAGUUGGUGUGAGUGCUCCUCCGAAUAGACAAUCUUCGUGGGAGCGUUCCGGCAGGCUGACGCACCUGAAGCGGAUUUCUGAAAUCGGCUGCAGGAUUCUUAAGAAGCGGUGGAGCAGCCAUUCAUCGCUCGAUGGUCCCACUUGUUGAUUUUGGAUGCUCUGCCUGGAUCCAGCUAAGUUACCACGCCCACCCGAACACUGACACCGAUCGCCCUCCGGACUAAACGCUCUCGUCUGCCGCCUGAGCCCGCAACCUUCUCGGAGCCUUUGCACCAACGGAUCCUACCUCCUCCUCGGCAAUCCUCCAUCAGAUGAUCUUACCUGAGCCGCCCAGCCGCUCCCGAAACCAGAGGACAACUUAGGCUCAACAUAUUCCAUAAUAACUGUAAAUAAACCUUUGAACCAAAAACCUUCCGGUCUGAUGUCUAAACCUGCAUGUGGGUAAAGAAACUCAAAUCCAGCAUGACAGAACCAUCGAGCCAUGUUGACCCAGCAGGUUCUCACACAAGACCCGGUUUAAGUUCAGCAGAAC